ensembl:snRNA U1 U1 spliceosomal RNA
AUACUUACCUGGCAGGGGAGAUACCAUGAUCAUGAAGGUGGUUUUCCCAGGGUGAGGCUCCUCCAUUGCACUCUGGAUGUGCUGACCCCUAAAAAAAAAGAAUAGCCUUUCUGAGGUC